rnacentral:rRNA from 1 species
AGAGUUUGAUCAUGGCUCAGGACGAACGCUGGCGGCGUGCUUAACACAUGCAAGUCGAACGGAAAGGCCCUUCGGGGUGCUCGAGUGGCGAACGGGUGAGUAACACGUGGGUGAUCUGCCCUGCACUUUGGGAUAAGCCUGGGAAACUGGGUCUAAUACCGAAUAGGACUGCGCUCUUCAUGGGGUGUGGUGGAAAGCUUUUGCGGUGUGGGAUGGGCCCGCGGCCUAUCAGCUUGUUGGUGGGGUAAUGGCCUACCAAGGCGACGACGGGUAGCCGGCCUGAGAGGGUGACCGGCCACACUGGGACUGAGAUACGGCCCAGACUCCUACGGGAGGCAGCAGUGGGGAAUAUUGCACAAUGGGCGCAAGCCUGAUGCAGCGACGCCGCGUGAGGGAUGACGGCCUUCGGGUUGUAAACCUCUUUCAGCACAGACGAAGCGCGAGUGACGGUAUGUGCAGAAGAAGGACCGGCCAACUACGUGCCAGCAGCCGCGGUAAUACGUAGGGUCCGAGCGUUGUCCGGAAUUACUGGGCGUAAAGAGCUCGUAGGUGGUUUGUCGCGUUGUUCGUGAAAACUCACAGCUUAACUGUGGGCGUGCGGGCGAUACGGGCAGACUGGAGUACUGCAGGGGAGACUGGAAUUCCUGGUGUAGCGGUGGAAUGCGCAGAUAUCAGGAGGAACACCGGUGGCGAAGGCGGGUCUCUGGGCAGUAACUGACGCUGGGGAGCGAAAGCGUGGGGAGCGAACAGGAUUAGAUACCCUGGUAGUCCAA